CUUUUUCAAAUGGCCAGAAGGAAUAUGCUGCCUAUCUUGCAGACCAGGUAAACUAAAUGUGGGAGUCUUGGAUGCAAUAUGCCUCAUAAAGGGAUUAUUGACUCCUUUUUCCUCCAUUUUCAAUGUUUACUGUUGCUAGUUGGGCAAGAUUUCAUGUUAGAUAUAGUUUUUUAUUGUUAAACUGCGUUGUUUGAAAAGUAUUACUCCCUCUGUUUCAAUUUAUGUGAAUCUAUUACUAUUUGGGGAGUCAAACAAGGUGUUUUUAAACCACGUUUUUGCAAAUACUUUUUUUAUAUUAUGGAUUGUUAACUAUUGUGACUUAUAGGAGUACUUUUUAUAUAGUUUCUGAAUAUGUAAACUUUAUUUUUUAAAAAAUUGAAAAUUCGAUGUCCGAAUUCACAGCAAAAAUUAGUCCAUUUGACCCUCGUUUUCCGAAAGGUUCACAUAAAUUGAAAGAGAGAGUAUGUUUUAUUCUUCACAUACAACUUUCAUCACUUUUUGCUCUAUGUGAUGUAAUUGUUAUGUGAUAGAUUGCUCAUAAAGUUUGGCUAAAUAUAUCUGUUUUCUCUUCUGCUAGCCUGCCUUAUUUUGUGUUAACUUUGGUUGUGACCGGCAAAUCUAAUGGAUUUUCUAAAUGUAAUUUUUUUUUGUUUGGAAGGGGAGCCUUGGCGUAACUGGUAAAGUUGCUGCCAUGUGACCAGGAAGUCACGGGUUCGAGCCGUGGAAAGUGGAAACUUCCCCAGACCUGCGCAUAGCGGGAGUUUAGUGCACCGGGCUGCCUAAAAUAUUUAUUUUUUUGAAUAGUUAAACGC
rnacentral:lncRNA from 1 species